rnacentral:rRNA from 1 species
AUUCCAGCUCCAAUAGCGUAUAUUAAAGUUGUUGCAGUUAAAAAGCUCGUAGUUGGAUUUCUGGUCUGAGCGUCCGGUCCGCCGCUGUGCGGUGUGUACUUGGUUCGACUCGGGCCUUCCUUGUAGGGAAUGUUUCUGGCAUUAAUUUGUCGGGGGCGGGAACUGCAUCGUUUACUGUGAAAAAAUUAGAGUGUUUAAAGCAGGCAUUUGCUGUGAAUACAUUAGCAUGGAAUAAUAAGAUAGGACUUUGGUUCUAUUUUGUUGGUUGGAGGCCAAGGUAAUGAUUAAUAGGGAUAGUUGGGGGUAUUCAUAUUUAAUUGUCAGAGGUGAAAUUCUUGGAUUUAUGAAAGAUGAACUUAUGCGAAAGCAUUUACCAAGGAUGUUUUCAUUA